AAAAUUAGAGUGUUCAAAGCAGGCAGAUCCAAUUUUCUGCCACCGAAUACAUUAGCAUGGGAUAAUGGAAUAGGACCCUGUCCUCCUAUUUUCAGUUGGUUUUGGCAGCGCGAGGACUAGGGUAAUGAUUAAUAGGGAUAGUUGGGGGCAUUAAUAUUUAAUUGUCAGAGGUGAAAUUCUUGGAUUUAUGAAAGAUUAACUUCUGCGAAAGCAUCUGCCAAGGAUGUUUUCAUUAAUCAAGAACGAAAGUUAGGGGAUCGAAGACGAUCAGAUACCGUCGUAGUCUUAACCAUAAACGAUGCCGACCAGCGAUUAGGAGACGUUGAAUACAAAACACCACCAUCGGCGCGGUCGUCCUUGGCGUGUCUCGGCUUCACGGCCGGGGCGCGCGAGGGCGGUUUAGCCCGGUGGCACCGGUGAA
rnacentral:rRNA from 1 species